CGCGGCCGCCAGCCCGGGGACGCCCGCAGGCCCCAGGACGCCGCAGCGGGGAGAAGAGGCUGUGGCCGCCGAGGGGAGCCUCCGCCGGCAUCUUUCGGGGCGGACAUUUUCUACCCACCCCCACCCUGCCCGCCUCCGGCCAACAGUCCCGCACCUGCUGGCGCCACGCAGCGCUCUGAGGCGGGGGUCUGUCCGCUCCCGCCCGACCCGGGAGGCGGCUGGGCCGGGGGCUGUGAAGUGGCGGGGGGUGGCGGUGCGCUGAGGCGAGGCCGGGGCCGGUGUCCUGAGGUGUGAGCUGGGCAGUACAGGCUGUGAGUAGCAUUUAACAAUUGGAAGAAGCCCAACAUGCGGCAUGAGAAGGCUGUUGAGGCACCUAUGUUCCUGUGAGCAUGGAUGAACUGUUCCAUCCUGUAGGACUUUGUGACCUUGCAACAGCGGAUACAGAGAUUGGAUUUAGAGCAUUCCAUGAAACCAAUUCCAGCUGAUGCAUGCUACAGACUUACCAGGAUCCUCAUCAUUUUGUUUUUGAGGAAGAAACAAGGCCCAUCUACAGCACCUCAAAGCUCCAGCGUGACAAGUGAAGAGCGUGACAAGUAAACAGAGAAAAAAGAUAAUCCCUGCCUCGGGGUUUGUGAUCUUCACAGGACUUUUCAGGCUGAAGUGAACACACUUCUCCACACUCUGCCCCUUUGAGAUCCAAGCUAGCUCUGAGCUGGAAGGGAGCAGCAUCAUUAACUCAAGUCAGUAAAUCCUGCUGAAAGGCAGCGUGUGCUCCUGCAGCAACAGCCCGGACAGUACAUCUACCUGCAGCCUUCUCACUACACCUUUCAGAUGGGCUCAUGGCUCUCUGUGAGAGACAAUGUAGGCAUACCCUCGGUAUGAAAUGUGAGCCUGUGACAACUAUAUAAAGACAGUUAAUAAAAAAGGAAAGAAUGGAAAAUAAGUGAGCCUUGAUAGCCAAGCUACUAUCCAGUUUCUGUAGGCGCUACAGUCACAGUCCCCUCCAGUUAUGAAGCCACAACAGAAAUUUCCAAAUCUAAUUUUUAGUUUCCCUAACUUCUCUGCCUGCGACCUGUGAAGAAGUGAAAGACAGGACCUGAUCUGCAACAUGCUGUGGGCAGUAUCAUUUGACUCUUCCAUGACACUGACACCAAUAAAAGGACCGGGCACUGAUACCACUGUCUUAUUACUACUAAGCCUUUUGGACAAGGGAUCAGAAGACUUCAAGA